UACGUAGGGUGCAAGCGUUGUCCGGAAUUAUUGGGCGUAAAGAGCUCGUAGGCGGUUUGUCGCGUCUGCUGUGAAAAUCCAGGGCUUAACCCUGGACCUGCAGUGGGUACGGGCAGACUCGAGUGCGGUAGGGGAGAUCGGAAUUCCUGGUGUAGCGGUGAAAUGCGCAGAUAUCAGGAGGAACACCGGUGGCGAAGGCGGAUCUCUGGGCCGUAACUGACGCUGAGGAGCGAAAGCAUGGGGAGCGAACAGG
rnacentral:rRNA from 1 species